rfam:Schistosoma curassoni strain Dakar, Senegal genome assembly, scaffold: SCTD_scaffold0000110
AUCCAGUUGACGAGUUCCAAAUGGGACGAAACGCGCUGCUGGAU